rnacentral:rRNA from 1 species
GAGGGAAGGCAUUCCCCUGAACCUGAAUGANGUUAUGANGAAGGGGGGGAGCAAACAGGAUUAGNACCCUGGUAUUCANGCCUUAANGAUUUCAAUUGGUUGUGGGAGGUUUUUUUUCAGUAAAGUAGUAAAGCGGGAAGUGACCGCNUGGGAUACGNCCGCAAGGUUGAAAUUCAAAGGAAUNGACGGGACCCGCACAAGCGUGGAUGAUGUGGUUUAAUUGGAUGCAACGNGAAAAACCUAACCUACCCUUGACAUGUCUGGAAUCCUGAAGAGAUUUGGGAGUGNUNGAAAGAGAACCAGAACACAGGUGNUGCAUGGCCGUCGUCAGCUCGUGUCGUGAGAUGUUGGGUUAAGUCCCGCAACGAGCGCAACCCUUGUCAUUAGUUGNUACGAAAGGGCACUCUAAUGAGACUGCCGGUGACAAACCGGAGGAAGGUGGGGAUGACGUCAGGUCAUCAUGGCCCUUAUGGGUAGGGCUACACACGUCAUACAAUGGCCGGGACAGAGGGCUGCCAACCCGCGAGGGGGAGCCAAUCCCAGAAACCCGGUCGUAGUCCGGAUCGCAGUCUGCAACUCGACUGCGUGAAGUCGGAAUCGCUAGUAAUCGCGGAUCAGCUUGCCGCGGUGAAUACGUUCCCGGGUCUUGUACACACCGCCCGUCACACCAUGGGAGCGGGUUCUGCCAGAAGUAGUUAGCCUAACCGCAAGGAGGGCGAUUACCACGGCAGGUUCGUGACUGGG